rnacentral:tRNA from 1 species
GCCUCCAUAGCUCAGUUGGCUAGAGCACGUGAUUUGUAAUCUCGGGGUCGUGGGUUCGAGUCCCUCUGGAGGCU